AGCUGCGAUCAUGCCAACAUUAAUGCACCGGAUCCCAUCAGAACUCCGCAUUGAAGUGUGCUUGGGCGAGAGUAGUACUAUGAUGGGUGACCUCCUGGGAAGUCCUCGUGUUGCACUUC
rnacentral:rRNA from 1 species